GUCUCUAGCGGAUGCUAAAUAUCUGGGCCCACUUUUAUUUGUGUAGAUCGAUAUCCUUACUUCAAUGUUCAUGGUCUUACUACAUUGUGCUAGUAAUAUUACAUUGAAGGUAUGUACAAAUUUGUAUACUUAAAUAGUAUGGUAGUAUAAUGCAUUACUAUUUAACAUCUUAGACCGAUUGUGUAAGUAGGAACUUCGAAUGUCAUUCAUGCGAUCAAAGAACUUAGUAACACGAUCGUGUUACCCUGAUACAGUGAUCAGUGGCAUAGCCAUGAUUUUUAAGCGGAUGGGACUGAACACUUUUUUUUGACAGUUUAAGUAAGACAGAAUUUUAAAAUCUACCCUUCACCCCCAACCACCAGAUUAUGCAAGUCUUUAGUUGGUCACGUGUUGAAGUGGUGAUGCUGAGAAUGUAUUUCCAAAGUAUAUGUUGCAAAUAUUAAGAAAAUACAUAAUUUCAAGUGUUAUACAAUUUUUGCUUUAAUAUAAAUACAAGUUUAUAUUAUA